rnacentral:misc_RNA from 1 species
CCGAGUUUACAAACUCCCAAACCCACUGUGAACCUUACCAGACGUUGCUUCGGCGGGCUCGCCCCCGGGGACUGCCGCGAGGCGCCCCAGGGGACCAAACGCGCCCGCCGGGGGACCCAAACUCUCCUGUUUAUCGCCCGCCGCGGCGCCUGUAGAAUCUUCUGAGCAGCCCCCUCGCGGGGGCGUCAAAACAAAAAAUGAAUCA